GACGAACGCUGGCGGCGUGCUUAACACAUGCAAGUCGAACGGAAAGGCCCUGCUUUUGUGGGGUGCUCGAGUGGCGAACGGGUGAGUAACACGUGAGUAACCUGCCCUUGACUUUGGGAUAACUUCAGGAAACUGGGGCUAAUACCGGAUAGGAGCUCCUGCUGCAUGGUGGGGGUUGGAAAGUUUCGGCGGUUGGGGAUGGACUCGCGGCUUAUCAGCUUGUUGGUGGGGUAGUGGCUUACCAAGGCUUUGACGGGUAGCCCGCCUGAGAGGGUGACCGGCCACAUUGGGACUGAGAUACGGCCCAGAAUCCUACGGGAGGCAGCAGUGGGGAAUCUUGCACAAUGGGCGGAAGCCUGAUGCAGCAACGCCGCGUGCGGGAUGACGGCCUUCGGGUUGUAAACCGCUUUCGCCUGUGACGAAGCGUGAGUGACGGUAAUGGGUAAAGAAGCACCGGCUAACUACGUG
rnacentral:rRNA from 1 species